CUAAGGAGUUUAAUGGCAUGUUUAAUGCAAAAAAUCCUUUGAUUUGUUACUAAUGUUCUGAAUAAAGGACAUUGACUUUAGACUAAAAUCAUGUGUAUGUGGCUCUGAAUGGGUAAAUUACAGGUUUGUGAUAGCAAAGCCUGUAUAAUUUUUCUCUGGACUUAAUUUUUUUUUUUAAUAUGAAAAAAGGCAAAUCUGAGACUGAGAAGCAACAAAUAAAAUUGGUGUGGCCUAAGAAGUGUAAGGUAAAAAAUUAUGAUGUGAAGGAGAUGAAUGAAAUGCAUGACGAGUCAAUUCAGUAAUGUUGACUUUUUUUGUAUAGGAUGAAAUUUGCUUGAAUUGAUUUUGAAUGGUGAAGGAUACUCGUGCAUCAGUGCAAAUCGGAUAAAAUGCCUCUUUAUUCUUCAGUACAUAUGUUUUACACAUAUUACUCACCAAGUUUGUAAUUGCAUACAGGUACAUGUAUUUAAAAUCAGCUAUGGUCUCCAGUACACCUAUAGUUUACACAUCUUGCUGCAAUCAUCGUUUAAAUCCCACGAGGAUGCAAUUGACGGAAGAUUUAUAUACUAGUACAAAAUGUAUGUUGACCUAAAACAAUUGCAUCCUCACUAUACAGUAGAAGCCGUUUAAUUGCACUCCCCAUUUGCCACCACAUUGUGUGCAAUUGUCAGAAUGGUGCAACAAAGCGAAGUUAUUCAGCUGGACCACAUCACUGCGGGACUUUGGGAUUCUACAGUUAUUCGUUGUGCAAUUAACUGGCUUCUACUGUAUAGCAUUGAUCAUUUCUUGCAGCUAGACUUGUAAUGUUUGGGUGUGACAUAGCCUGGUGUGACGGUUGUUCAGUGUAAUAUUACUAGUGUAAGAUUGUGCCAAACUACCUGACUGCAAAGUGGAUGUGACUACUAGUAGUUACUAUAUUGGGGUAUACAGAUUGUAACAAACAACACAGGCAAGACAUCAUUCCAAACACAUUUCAUAACUCCUUCAAUUCACCAUCAACUUCAUUCCUUACUGCUUCCAAUUAGACACAUACAAAUUAUCAUACAUUGUCACUUUAAAAAAAUAGUAUGACAACAGGUUAAGUUGCAAUAAUAAACAACAGGGAACUCACCAGAGAUAAACAUCUCUUAAUAGAUAUGGGCUUAAAAAUCUUUUUAUACCCAUGAGAUAUUUUCAUACUUUCACUGAUGAUAGCAUGAUUUUUUGCAUUAUUGUUCGUCCUUAAUUCAGAAAUGACAGUGUUAAGCAAACUUAACAUCACUAAUACCGGUAUGUACUCUAUGCAUCAUGGUUUUUCACAUCUUUAGUAGGUGAUUUUAACUUUGUGUAUUUUGGAGUUUGUAAAAUAACACCUGUUUUCCUGUCUGCUUUACCUACUGUUUGUAUAACGUUACCACUAUCUGUCUGAAUGGUCCUCUUGUUUUGUGGUUUACAAAGAGUCCAUUAGGCCACACCAAUUUUAUUUGUUGUUUUUUGGAUAUCCCGACCCUAUUUUUUCUGAUUUGAAAAAAAAAAAGAAAAAUUUUCAAAUUGAUGGCCACACCUCAUGUUGACAAGAUUUCACUGCCUCUCCUUUCUGAAAUUAA